rnacentral:tRNA from 7 species
GCCCCCAUAGUUCAAUGGAUAGAACAAGGGACUCCUAAGCCCUAGAUUCAGGUUCGAUUCCUGGUGGGGGCACCA